rnacentral:lncRNA from 1 species
GAAACCAUUAGCCAUAUUCUUUAUUCUCUACCUGUUUCUAUAAUUAGAUGUGACAUUCUGUUUUCAGAGCAGUUCAUUGUCAAGUUGGACUCCAAAUGACCAAGAAAAAAGUAAUCUCAAGAUCCUAAGAACUUAGUUCAUGUCAAAGUUCUUUUACAGAAUAGAAUUUAAAAGCAUUAUAAAAAAUAUGCAUUACAGAUUAAUAUUCAAUUCAACUAUAUUCUGGGUUCUGUUUUUUAAUGAAUCUUCUCAGAAAAGGCUUAGAAAAAGCUGCUAACUCCUCAAAAGAGAGCUAUAAUAAUUUGAAGGGAUAGUGCAUAUGAACUUAGGAUUUGAAGUUUGAUUUUUUAAUUAAGGUCAAUCCUACUCAUUAUAAACCCUCAUUUUCUGCAAAGCAUUAUCAUACAUAAAGUUCUAUGUUCAAAAUUAUCCCAAGUAACAAAGAAGAAUAACUGUCUGACCAGGACUUUAACUUAUUAUUGUAGCUUAAUCAUAGAUAAUCAGUAGUAAAAACUUUCCUUUUGAAAGAACAUUUCCCCAUAAGUUAUUUAUGUCUCUUCAACUCAAGGCUUAAUGUUGUACUUGUGUUAAUAGAGCCAUUUGGAAAUUUCAAUUAUUCAAAUUCUUAUUAGCAAAGUACACUAAGGUAGGCAAGAGGCAUUUAUCUAGUGAGUAGGCAGAGAUUCAACAUAAUAAUUCCUUAAGCAAAACUUUCUUCGUGAACAAAUUAGAAAAACCAAUAGACUUUGAUUUGACAUUUAUAGAAAACUAAGGAAAAUCUGAGGAGUACUGGAAAAGUAUAGAGAUGAUGGAGAACCCCAUGCCAUCUGUUGCCAUUCCAUUCCAGCAAGACUACAGAACUAAACCAACUCAUGUUUUCAUCCCUUCAAGAUCAGCUGGGCACACUAUGAUGCUUUUGAUUUUGUCUAGGAACCUGUCACUUCAGGAUAAUUUCUGAAGACAAAGUCUGUUUCCCGUUUGGUAGGUGACCUGUUUAAUGUUUUCCCUGUGUCUGGGAACUCCUUAGUGUAAUUAGCGACCUUUGAACUCCGCAACUAAUCCUGAGCUAUUUUGUAUUCCUUACUCAUCUUUAAGGCUGGACCUUUCUUUUCUUCAGAGUCCUCUGCCACAAUUAAAGAAGAAACAGCUGCAUUUCAAAGGGAUUCCGAUUCCAGAAGCUUAAUCGUGAUUGACAUGUUCUUAUUCUAAGCUAUAAGACACUCUAAGAGUCCUUUCUUGGGUUAAAACUUCAAUCAUUUUCUAAAAAAUUAUCUCACUACGGAUUUUAUUCAUUUUCUUUGAUAACUAUUCUUUGCAUUUUUUAACUCGAAAGAUGCUUUGCAUUUGCAGUGAAUAUGAGCAACUACUUCUAGUGAAAGAUUUGGAUGGUGUCAGUCCUGCUCUAUAUAGAAAAUUUCUAAAUUCCCUUUUAGUGCCAAAAUAUGAUUACGAAAUCUGAUGUCUAUCAUAUGGGUAAUUAUUCUUCCCUAAAUCCCAAAGGCAAAAGGAAAAAUAGCUAAAUUUCUGAAAAUGAACUCCAGAAAAGAUGGUUCGUGAUUUUGGUAAAAACUUUUCUUACUAAACAAUAUUUUAAAACUUUUUAAAGUCAGCAAUAUUGAAGUUAGGCAAUAUCCUGGUGGUAUUUUAUACUUUUAAAAUAAUCAACUCAAGUUUGAAGUAAAUAGGCUCAUCA